rnacentral:rRNA from 1 species
AAGCCCCUUCGGGGGUGUAUAAAGUGGCGAACGGCUGAGUAACACGUGGGCAACCUGCCUCUUGCUCUGGGAUAGCCACGGGAAACCGUGGGUAAUACCGGAUACUCCGUAACCAUCGCAUGGUGGAUACGGGAAAGCGCAUACGGCAAGAGAUGGGCCCGCGGCCUGUUAGCUUGUUGGUGGGGUAACGGCCUACCAAGGCAAUUAUGGGUAGCUGGGUUGAGAGACCGACCAGCCAGAUUGGGACUGAGACACGGCCCAGACUCCUACGGGAGGCAGCAGUGGGGAAUCUUGCACAAUGGGCGAAAGCCUGAUGCAGCGACGCCGCGUGCGGGAUGAAGGCCCUAUGGGUUGUAAACCGCUUUCAGCAGGGAAGAGGCCGCAAGGUGACGGUACCUGCAGAAGAAGCCCCGGCUAACUACGUGCCAGCAGCCGCGGUAAUACGUAGGGGGCAAGCGUUAUCCGGAUUCAUUGGGCGUAAAGCGCUCGUAGGCGGCUUGUUAGGUCGGGAGUCAAAUCCCGGGGCUCAACCCCGGCACGCUUCCGAUACCGGCAGGCUUGAGUUUGGUAGGGGAAAGUGGAAUUCCAAGUGUAGCGGUGGAAUGCGCAGAUAUUUGGAAGAACGCCAGUGGCGAAAGCGGCUUUCUGGGCCAUAACUGACGCUGAGGAGCGAAAGCUAGGGGAGCAAACAGGAUUAGAUACCCUGGUAGUCCUA